AUGAGGAGAAAUUACUGUUGUGGACUUUUAGCAGAGGACCCAAACGUUGAGGUUUUUGUACAGGCACUGAAUGGGUUUGUAUCACUGUGGUACACUUUUGGUGGCGGCACAAGACUCUCAGUUGGAAAUAACGCUCUCCCUACUCUAACGGUCCUGCCUCCCUCCAGAGAUGAGUUAAAUCAGGGUAAAGCUACAGUCAUGUGUGUUGGCAGUAAUGGUUUUCCCUCUGACUGGAAGCUGAACUGGAAGGUUGAUGGUAACAGCAGGAGCUCUGGUGUGAAUCUGAGUCCCAGUGUACUGCUGAAGGAUGGACUGUACAGCUGGAGCAGCAGUCUGAGUCUCACUGACAAUGAAUGGAGAUCAGCAAAAACCAUCAGCUGUGAGGCCACACAGAGCUCACAGAAUCCAGUCAUCAAAACCAUUGACACACAACAGUGUGAUGCAUAAUGAUAACACGCACACACGCAUGCACAUACACACACAUGAUUUAUACUACUAAAUCUUAUAAAAAAAUAUUUUUCACUGUUUGCUGAGGUUCUGUUGCUUUAUUACUGUAGCCUAUUGUAGUGCAUAUGACAGCAGACUUUAUUAAUUUGCUCAUUUCUAUAUUUUGGUUACAAAAUAAAUUCAUUUUGGCUCA